AACAUCAAGCGGCGGCGGUGCAGUCUGUCGCCUCACCUCCUCAACCCGAUGAAAUUUCUCAAGUGGACAAGAUCAACUUCAUUGUAAAAUGUGCUGGAAAGAGCAUGACCGUAGACGUGUUCCCACUUGAAAGGAUCUCUGUUUUUCUGAAGGAGGCAUGUGAACAGGCAGUGAAGAAACCUGAGAAAAUGAAUCUUAUUUAUGAUGGAAAUGUUCUGGAUGUGAACAAGACAGUGAGUCAGUUUAACCUACGAGGAGGAUCUACAGUGAAUCUAAUUCAUGCCUGCUAGCAGAUGUACAGCACCACUGCGACAUGAGAAGCCUCCGUAUUCCUCUAUACUACUAUAAGUAUAAUGUAGGAAUACAGACAAUUUCAAAGUGACAACAUGAACAAACGUUACUGCGUGCGUUCGUGGACGGCCCUUCACUUCCGGCACACCUUCUUAUUUAUUUUAGUAAAUUGUUUUGUGUUAUUUCAUCUUGUCCUGUCUCCACAAUUAUUAACCCACAAUUAAAAUCUCUUACAUGACCAUGAAUAACUUUCAAGGUCUACCCUGGUAAUGAAACGUUUUUAUUUGGACUCCACGUUGACAGCAUUGAAAUUAGUGUGUGAGAAGAUUUAAGAAAAGUGCCUCACAAUAUUCAGUUAGGUCUUCGCUUCACAGCAAGACACACAUUGUUGGUUCCAAGCGUGAAAACAUUUAAAGAAAAUAAAUUCUACUCGGUUUCAUUACAAAUACCAUUACGUAAGGUCCUUUGAGUACUGUGUUAUUAAUCUUAUUCCAAUAAAAUGGAAUGUUAUUCCCACCAGUCAUUUCCAUUAAAACCACUGCAAUGACCAACUUUACAGACUUGAACACAACUGUUGUGAUACUUCUUUUGACACUGCACGGCAAUUUUCGGAUUAAGACAAAAUUGUUGAUUUCUUGCGGAAGAGAAAAACGGUACGGAUGGCUCCGUGAAAGACAGAAACAAUCCAUCACUGACAGAAAUAAUAUAAUAAUAAUAAUAUGAAAACCAACCAUCCAACCAUUCCUACCUAGAUACUUGAAACAGAGGGGUAAGCACACAACGCCUGAAUACAACAUAUAAAAGGUAAAAAACGUAAACGUUAAAGUUUCUUUACACAUUCAAAGCAAUGUUUUUAAACUGCCCUAACAGGUUUGAUUGGUUUUAAGUGGCGGAUGCAAUUUUACACCUGUUCAUUUAACCAUGACUUCAACGCAGGCUUUUUGGGAAGGGUGGAAUCCACGAUAUCUGAUCUAGAUCAAUUGGUAGCCUUUCAUGGCCAAAGUGAGAUUUGCUUGAUUCCUAAAUGUCUAUGAACGUAUAAUGGUAUUUUUUUUCUUAUGUACAGUCAAAAACCUACAAACAGGGCCUUUAAAGGGAAAGUUCACCCAAAAAUGAAAAUUCUGUCAUCAUUUACUCACCCUGAGGUUGUUCCAAACCUGUAUACAUUUCUUUGUUCUGCUGAACACAAAGGAAGAUAUUUGGAAAAGAUGUCAUUAACCCAACAGAUCUCAUUCCCCCAUUUACUGCCAUUGUAGGGGAAAUAAUGGGAGUCCAUGGGGGGUUUUUAAUUUUUGGAUGAACCAUCCUUCAACUAUUCCUAUUUCAUGAUCAAUGGACUCUGAUCUCUGAAUCAUUUAUGACGUGCACUUGAGACACCGAGAGAUUUAAAUGUAAUAAAUCAUCUCCAGUAGUCCAACCCACAGGGAAUUUUGAAAGGAAGUUCAUAGAAAGUUUUUCAUUCAAUAUUUGCAUUUAAAAAGAAAAUGAAAGUGACACAGCCAGUCGGCAUAUAUAAAGGCUCCACACAAGACUCAACACAUUUGAAGCCAACAUGGGUGCCAUCUACAGCUAUUUCUUUGGUGAGAAUGAGCCGGUGAAGCCGGAAAGCAGCAGCUUAACCCCUGACUUCAGUUUAACAAUUGAGGGAGAGCCACCAGAGAGUUCAAACAUACCCUAAUGAUCCGACGGUCUCUGAGCGCACCUGAAUGACAUCUCACUCUGGAUGAAGGACCAUCACCUGCAGCUGAACCUUGCAAAAACGACCCGAAGACUCAGCACGACCUUUCCAUCCAACUAGGUUCAUCAACCAUUACUCCUUCCAGAACGGCCAGAAAUCUGGGAGUGGUAAUUGAUGAUCAGCUGAACUUCGCGGAUCAUGUGGCCAGCACCACCCGGUCCUGUAGGUUCAUCCUCUACAAUAUCAGGAGAAUUAGACCUUUCCUGUCUGAGCAUGCUAUGCAAGUUCUUGUCCAGGCUCUUGUCCUGUCCAGACUGGACCACUGCAAUGCUCUACUGUCUGGUCUUCCAGCUUGUACAACCAGACCUCUUCAGAUAUCUUUUCAGCCCAGUGUAAUAGAAAUAUAGAGGUAGGUCAGUUUCACUUGUGGCUUUGAGUAUCAUCAACAGUCAGCUGCCAGACCACCCCCUAGCAACCAAACAGAGUGCCUUAGCAACCACUUCGAAAACCUAUAUCUCAGCAGCAGAACAUAGAGACAUGGCUGUUUGUUCGCUUCAUUUGCGGCUUCGAGCAAUAUCAAUUGUCAGGUGCCAGACCACUCCCUAGCAACCAAAUAGAGUACCCAAGCAACCAUUUAGAAAAUAUCUGCAUAAGAACAUCGUAGAGACAUGGGGUGUGCUAUCCUAUGCUAUCAUAACAGAGUUUUGCCAC